CCGGCACGGGUGAGUAACACGUAUCCAACCUGCCGUCUACUCUUGGACAGCCUUCUGAAAGGAAAGGAUUAAUACAAGAUGGCAUCAUGAGUUCACAUGUUCACAUGAUUAAAGGUAUUCCGGUAGACGAUGGGGAUGCGUUCCAUUAGAUAGUAGGCGGGGUAACGGCCCACCUAGUCUUCGAUGGAUAGGGGUUCUGAGAGGAAGGUCCCCCACAUUGGAACUGAGACACGGUCCAA
rnacentral:rRNA from 1 species